GGUCGAUUAUGGCUCCAGAUUGAACGCUGGCGGGAUGCUUUACACAUGCAAGUCGAACGGCAGCGGACUUCGGUCUGGUGGCGAGUGGCGAACGGGUGGUGUGCUGUCGGAACGUGCUAGUAGCGGGAUAUUACGCGGAAGCGUAGCUAAUACCGCAUACGCCCUUCGGGGAAAGCGAGGCCUUCGGGCCUCGCACUAUUAGAGCGGCCGAUAUCGGAUUAGCUAGUUGGUGGGGUAACGGCUCACCAAGGCGACGAUCCGUAGCUGGUUUGAGAGGGACUGACCAGCCACACUGGGACUGAGACACGGCCCAGACUCCUACGGGAGGCAGCAGUGGGAAUUUUGGACAAUGGGGAAACCCUGAUCCAGCCAUCCCGCGUGUUGACGCUUCAGGUUGUAAAGCACUUUUGGUAGGAAAGAAACGGCACGGGAUAAUACCCCGUGCAGAAAACUGACCAGUACCAACAGAAUAAGCACCGGCUAACUACGUGCCAUAAACAUCACCGCGUGUGGCAGGAGUGUGUCAAAUCGGAAUUACUGGGCGUAAAGCGUGCGCAGAGCGGUUCCGGAAAGAAGAUGUGAAAUCCCAGAGCUUAACUUUGGAACUGCAUUUUAACUACCGAGCUAGAGUGUGUCAGAGGUGGAAUUCCGCGUGUAGCAGUGAAAUGCGUAGAUAUGCGGAGGAACACCGAUGGCGAAAGCGACCUCCUGGGAUAACACUGACGCUCAUGCACAAGCGUGGGGAACCGCGACGGAUUAAGUGCCCUGGUAGUCCGUAGCAAGUCUCACUUCGCUGUUUGGACGCUCGGGCCUUGGUAGCGCAGCUAACGCAUGAAGUUGAUGCCUGGGAAGUACGGUCGCAAGAUUAUUAAAACUCAAAGGAAUUGACGGGGACCGCACAAGCGGUGGAUGAUGGAUUAAUUCGAUGCAACGCGAAAAACCCACCUACCCUUGACAUGUCUGGAAUCCCGAAAAUUUGAGUGCUCCUGAGAGGCGGAACACAGGUGCUGCAUGUGGCUGUCGUCAGCUCGUGUCGUGGAAGUAUUGGUUCAGAGUCGACAAGCGCAAUAUGGCAUCAUUGAAUUUGCUGCGGGCACUCUAAUGAGACUGCCGGUAGUAAAACCGGAGAAGGUGGAACAGGCGUCCAGUCCUCAUGGCCCAUAUGCGUUGCCGUUACGUCAUACAAUGGUGGGAUGGUCGCCAACCCGCGAGAGACAAUGCGACUGAUCGUGAUCGGAUCGCAGUCUGCAACUCGUUUGCAUGGAGUCGAUCGCUAGUAAUGCUGGAUCAGCAUGUCGGUGAAUACGUUCGUUCAUGCUUUACUUCGUCACCUUGGAAUGGGUUUUACCAGAAGUAUUUCUUAAACAGGAGGACAAUUCUGGACCACAGGAUUCAGCAUUUCAGAGGUGAAGUGUUAACAGGUA
rnacentral:rRNA from 1 species